GAUGAACGCUAGCGGCAGGCCUAAUACAUGCAAGUCGAGCGGUAAGGCUCCUUCGGGAGUACACGAGCGGCGGACGGGUGAGUAACGCGUAUGCAACCUACCUUUUGGAGGGGGAUAGCCUCGGGAAACUGAGAUUAAUACCCCAUGGUACUAGAGUAACACAUGUUAUUCUAAUUAAAGUUCCGGCGCCAAAAGAUGGGCAUGCGUGACAUUAGCUAGUUGGUGAGGUAACGGCUCACCAAGGCAACGAUGUCUAGCUGGUCUGAGAGGAUGAUCAGCCACACUGGAACUGAGACACGGUCCAG
rnacentral:rRNA from 1 species